rnacentral:rRNA from 1 species
ACGGCUCAGUAACACGUGGAUAACCUGCCCUUGGGACCGGCAUAACCCCGGGAAACUGGGGAUAAUUCCGGAUACCGCAUAUAUGCUGGAAUGCUUUAUGCGUGAAAUGGAUUCGUCUGCCCAAGGAUGGGUCUGCGGCCUAUCAGGUAGUAGUGGGUGUAAUGUACCUACUAGCCUACAACGGGUACGGGUUGUGAGAGCAAGAGCCCGGAGAUGGAUUCUGAGACAUGAAUCCAGGCCCUACGGGGCGCAGCAGGCGCGAAAACUUUACAAUGCGGGAAACCGUGAUAAGGGGACACCGAGUGCCAGCAUCAUAUGCUGGCUGUCCAGGUGUGUAAAAUACACCUGUUAGCAAGGGCCGGGCAAGACCGGUGCCAGCCGCCGCGGUAACACCGGCGGCCCGAGUGGUGAUCGUGAUUAUUGGGUCUAAAGGGUCCGUAGCCGGUUUGGUCAGUCCUCCGGGAAAUCUGACAGCUCAACUGUUAGGCUUUCGGGGGAUACUGCCAGACUUGGAACCGGGAGAGGUAAGAUGGUACUACAGGGGUAGGAGUGAAAUCUUGUAAUCCCUGUGGGACCACCUGUGGCGAAGGCGUCUUACCAGAACGGGUUCGACGGUGAGGGACGAAAGCUGGGGGCACGAACCGGAUUAGAUACCCGGGUAGUCCCAGCCGUAAACGAUGCUCGCUAGGUGUCAGGCAUGGCGCGACCGUGUCUGGUGCCGCAGGGAAGCCGUGAAGCGAGCCACCUGGGAAGUACGGCCGCAAGGCUGAAACUUAAAGGAAUUGGCGGGGGAGCAC